rnacentral:sRNA from 1 species
GCCCGGCACCGGCAGCCCAUGCCUGUAAUCCCAGCUCCUUGGGAGGCUGAGGCAGGAGGAUUGCAAGUUGGAGGCCAGUCUCAGCCACUGUAAUUAGUGAGACCCUGUCUCUC